ACGAGCGCAACCCUUAAGCUUAGUUGCCAUCAUUAAGUUGGGCACUCUAGGUUGACUGCCGGUGACAAACCGGAGGAAGGUGGGGAUGACGUCAAAUCAUCAUGCCCCUUAUGAUUUGGGCUACACACGUGCUACAAUGGACAAUACAAAGGGCAGCUAAACCGCGAGGUCAUGCAAAUCCCAUAAAGUUGUUCUCAGUUCGGAUUGUAGUCUGCAACUCGACUACAUGAAGCUGGAAUCGCUAGUAAUCGUAGAUCAGCAUGCUACGGUGAAUACGUUCCCGGGUCUUGUACACACCGCCCGU
rnacentral:rRNA from 1 species